GGCAAGGUGGCCGAGCGGCGAAGGCGGCGGCCUGCUAACCCGUUGGGAUGUUACCGCGUUGAGUUGGAAUCUCGGCCUUGUCG
rfam:Gregarina niphandrodes unplaced genomic scaffold scaffold00105, whole genome shotgun sequence.